rnacentral:rRNA from 1 species
CAGCAGCCCGGGAAUACAGAGGAUGCAAGCGUUAUCCGGAAUGAUUGGGCGUAAAGCGUCUGUAGGUGGCUUUUCAAGUCCGCCGUCAAAUCCCAGGGCUCAACCUUGGAACUGCCUUUGAUACUGUUUGUCUUGAGUUCGAGAGAGGUAAGUGGAACUGCGAGUGUAGAGGUGAAAUUCGUAGAUAUUCGCAAGAACACCAGUGGCGAAGGCGGCUUACUGGCUCGAAACUGACGCUGAGGCGCGAAAGCGUGGGGAGCAAACAGGAUUAGAUACCCGAGUAGUCCCUGUCUCUUAUACA